AUGCCCGAUCCUCCCCAACCCCCUGCCCAGGCGCCGCCGGCCAGAUCCCUGCCCAGCGCGCCGCCGGCCGGAUCCCUGCCCAGCGCGCCGCCGGCCGGAUCCCUCCCCAGCGCGCCGCCGCCCGGCUCCGUCCCCAUCGCUCCGCCGCCUGGCUACCUCCCAGCGCGCCGCCGCCCGAUUCCUUCCCCAGUGCUCCGCCUCCAGGCUUCCUCCCCAGAGCGCCGCCCGACUCCCUCCCUAGAAGCCACCGCGGCAUGUUCCUCCGCCGGCCAAUGGACACAGUGGGCCGUUCAACUUCCUACCGUUGGCCGUCCUCCCUGCCGCGGGGCACCUCUCACCCCUGCGCCGUCCGUCGAGACAUUCCCCUAUGAGCUUGAGGCAGAGCUCACCUUCUCCACAUCCCCUUCCUCUACUUGUUGCAGCCGUCUAUGUCGUAGGUCUUCAAUGUGUAUUUUUAGAAGAAAAUCAACAACGGCGGCUGCACUGGAGUAG
rnacentral:rRNA from 1 species